UACGGAGGGCGCAAGCGUUGUUCGGAAUUACUGGGCGUAAAGCGCGUGUAGGCGGUCUGGCAAGUCGGUUGUGAAAUCCCCGGGCUCAACCCGGGAACUGCAUCCGAAACUUCCAGGCUAGAGUUUCGGAGAGGAAGGCAGAAUUCCCAAUGUAGGGGUGAAAUCCGUAGAUAUUGGGAGGAAUACCAGUGGCGAAGGCGGCCUUCUGGACGAUGACUGACGCUGAGACGCGAAAGCGUGGGGAGCAAACAGG
rnacentral:rRNA from 1 species